GGGGCUGUGGCCUAGCCAGGCAGGGCGACGGGCUCCAGCGGAUUGAUGAUGAGCAACGGGUCUGCCGAGGCUGCUCGACGGGGUAGCCCAUGAGGAGCCGUUGGAGCACUGAUGCUCGGUUCGGAGAGACCCGUCGAUCGUGUGUUCAAAUCACACCAGCCCCA
rnacentral:tRNA from 1 species